GAAACCGGUCCGGGACCCCCCUCCCCUUCACCAGCCUGAACAAACUUGACACCUGGACGAACCACAAUUCCCUCACCACCAGGUGGCUGCCAAAUCUCAGGUGGGUCCCCCCCAUAGUUAUUACUAGAAGACAUGCUGAUUUUCCCUUUGUUCUUAUUACUCUUCCUAUUUGAAUAUCCAUAGUUACUACUAGAAGACAUGCUGAAUUUCCCUUUAUUCUUAUUAUUAUUCUUCCUAGUUGAAUAAUUCUGUGAACUUUUGAAUUCACCAAGAAAUGAAACAGGCUUGAAUAAAGAAGAAUUAUGAGGAGCAGACGAGUUCGAGAGC
rnacentral:lncRNA from 1 species